rnacentral:rRNA from 1 species
UACGUAGGUGGCAAGCGUUGUUCGGAAUUAUUGGGCGUAAAGAGCUCGUAGGCGGUUUGGCAAGUCGGGUGUGAAAUUUCGAGGCUCAACCUCGAAACGCCACUCGAUACUGCCAUGACUGGAGUCCGGUGGAGGAGUGCGGAAUUCCUGGUGUAGCGGUGAAAUGCGCAGAUAUCAGGAGGAACACCAACGGCGAAGGCAGCACUCUGGGCCGGUACUGACGCUGAGGGAGCGAAAAGCGUGGGGGAGCAAAACAGG